CUUCAGAGGAUGUGCUGAGUAAAGAUACUGGGGAGUGUGCAAUAUGCUUGGAAGAGCUGCAGCAAGGCGAUACUAUAGCACGACUGCCUUGCCUCUGCAUAUAUCAUAAAGGCUGCAUAGAUGAAUGGUUUGAAGUAAAUAGAUCUUGCCCUGAGCAUCCAUCAGAUUAAGACAAGAUUCAUGGUUUUAGCUGCUUCCACUGAUCAGAAGACACAGGAGAUGUGAGGUUGCCAUGCUGAGCACAGCGUGCCUGGCCUGAGACAUACAGUUCUUUGUGGCUGAAGGAGACAGAGAUGGACGGUGACACGGAAGAAGCAUUGUAGAUGCCGUACUUGCCAGUAGUGCUUGGUACACUAAACACUCAUGUGAAGGACACACAGGGAUUUUGAAAAUGCUGCACAUUGUGUAACAAUCGACUCCCCACAGACAUUACUGACAGUGUUUUGUAUCGACGGCCAAAGUUCCUAAUUUCAGCCUAAGUUCUGGUUCUGUGAAGAAGCGGUUUAUGGGACACGUUUUCGACCGCCUCAGGUGAGAGCGGAGAUGUUCAAUACAUGCUGUGUGAGACCCUUGCAGAAGGAUGGCCCCGAUUUUGAGUGGGAAUGCUUUCACCUUCACCUUGGCUGAAGAAGCGUAAAUGGCAAACUAAAUAUAAUCUAACAGUGUGACCUUAAUUUACUGAAUUCACACCCUGUUUUACGUUUUUCACUUUUUUUCCAAGAACAGAAAACAAACUUCUCUGCAUAGGAAUACUAUAUUUCAAAAUUUUGUAACUAAAACUUUGUCACAAUGCAGUCCAAAGAGUAAAACCAAGACAGGUAACUAA